rnacentral:lncRNA from 12 species
CUGCAAUCGCGGGGUCCUGAAGCGCUGGAAAUGCCAUUCCUUCCUGGCAGCGUGGUGAUGAGCCUUGCUAGAGACCAUACUAAUGAAAAAUCAUUGUUCCUGCCACAGACUGCUUGUCUGUGGCAAUUUAUACGCAAACGUGCUUGUAAGAAGCAGGCAGCUCAAGGUGCUCAGAAAGCACAGCAGACUGGAGAUUGAUGAGGGAUGUCAGACAGAGGAAAUUAAGCACUUGAACCUGGAGCUCUGCACACCUCCUGCAUUCUUAGAGAUGCCUCAAUAAUCCAGCUCAAAGGUGACAUGCAAGUUGCAGCCAUCUCCAGAAUCCUGACUUCUCUGCAUGUGCCCUGCAGUUCCCUGCAUCUUUGUCUGAACAAGGCUGUGCUGUGCCUCGAUGUUCUGCACCUUGGAGGAACUGGGGAGAUUCUACCUUUGCUGCUUCCCUAACAGCUUGAACUUGCAGUAGGAAAGUUGGCUUGUGUUUGACUUACUCAGUGGAACUACUGGC